rnacentral:lncRNA from 1 species
CAAAAUAAAUAAAGUGACUAGUUAAUCCUUAGAGUACUGGAAUUUGCUGGACUGUUAGCCAAACGAGUGUGUACAUAUGUUCAAAUCUUGAAUCUCUGGUCUGAGGAAAGACACUGACAGCACCAGACAGGUCAUUAAGAUAGAAAGUCAACAAGGAAACAAUGGAAUUAGACUAUACCCUAGAACUAAUGGACUUAACAGAUAUUUACAAAAUAUUCUACCAAACAACUUCAAAAUAUGCAUUCUAUUCAUCAGUUCAUGGAAUAUUCUCCAAGAUAGACCAUAUAAUAUGCCACAAAACAAGUCUCAGUAAAUUUAAGAAAAUAGAAAAUUAUAUCAAGUACUCUCUCAAAUCACAGUGGAAUAAAAUUGGAAAUCAACUUCAAAAGGAAUCCUCAAAACCAUGCAAAUACAACGAAAUUAAAUAACCUGCUCCUGAUCAAUCAUUGGAUAAAUAAUGAAAUUAAGAUGGAAAUUAAAAAGUUCUUUGAACUGAAUGAUAAUAGUGACACACCUAUCAAAACCUUUGGGAUACAGCAAGAGUGGUG